rnacentral:rRNA from 1 species
GAUGAACGCUGGCGGCGUGCCUAAUACAUGCAAGUCGAGCGAACGGACGAGAAUCGUGCUUCUCUGAUGUUAGCGGCGGACGGGUGAGUAACACGUGGAUAACCUACCUAUAAGACUGGGAUAACUUCGGGAAACCGGAUCUAAUACCGGAUAAUAUUUUGAACCGCAUGGUUCAAAAGUGAAAGACGGUCUUGCUGUCACUUAUCGAUUGAUCUGCGCUGCAUUAGCUAGUUGGUAAGGUAACGGCUUACCAAGGCGACGAUGCAUAACCGACCUGAGAGGGUGAUCAGCCACACUGGAACUGAGACACGGUCCAGACUCCUACGGGAGGCAGCAGUAGGGAAUCUUGGGCAAUGGGCGAAAGCCUGACGGAGCAACGCCGCGUGAGUGAUGAAGGUCUUCGGAUCGUAAAGCUCUGUUAUUAGGGAAGAACGUCUGUGUAAGUAAAUGUGCACGUCUUGACGGUACCUAAUGAGAAAGCAACGGCUAACUACGUG